rnacentral:rRNA from 1 species
AAUCAACGCUGGCGGCGUGCCUCAGACAUGCAAGUCGAACGCGAAAUUUCCCUUCGGGGAGAAAGUAGAGUGGCGCACGGGUGAGUAACACGUAGGUAAUUUGCCUUUGGGUGGGGAAUAACUCAGGGAAACUUGAGCUAAUACCGCAUAAUGCAGCGGCUCGACAUCGAGACAGUUGUUAAAGCGGGGGAUUGGAGCAAUCCGACCUCGCGCCUAAAGAGAAGCCUGCGGCAGAUUAGCUAGUUGGUAAGGUAAUGGCUUACCAAGGCGACGAUCUGUAACCGGCCUGAGAGGGCGGUCGGUCACACUGACACUGACAUACGGGUCAGACUCCUACGGGAGGCAGCAGUCGGGAAUUUUGGGCGAAUGGGCGCAAGCCUGACCCAGCAACGCCGCGUGAAGGAU